GGACGUAUGGCCCAAUGGUAAGGCGCUCGACUACGACUGAAAAGGUUUAGGCAUCGAGAGAUUCCAGGUUCGACCCCUGGUACGUUCA
rnacentral:tRNA from 1 species